UGUACUAGGGGGUGCUUUUUAAAAGGCUGGUAAAUGAUGCUCCUACAUUUUUUAACAUCAGCAUCAUUUAGAAACGUUUUA
rnacentral:miRNA from 1 species